rnacentral:rRNA from 1 species
GUUGAACGCUGGCGGCGUGCUUAACACAUGCAAGUCGAACGGAAAGGCCCUGCUUUUGUGGGGUGCUCGAGUGGCGAACGGGUGAGUAACACGUGAGUAACCUGCCCUUGACUUUGGGAUAACUUCAGGAAACUGGGGCUAAUACCGGAUAGGAGCUCCUGCUGCAUGGUGGGGGUUGGAAAGUUUCGGCGGUUGGGGAUGGACUCGCGGCUUAUCAGCUUGUUGGUGGGGUAGUGGCUUACCAAGGCUUUGACGGGUAGCCGGCCUGAGAGGGUGACCGGCCACAUUGGGACUGAGAUACGGCCCAGACUCCUACGGGAGGCAGCAGUGGGGAAUAUUGCACAAUGGGCGGAAGCCUGAUGCAGCAACGCCGCGUGCGGGAUGACGGCCUUCGGGUUGUAAACCGCUUUCGCCUGUGACGAAGCGUGAGUGACGGUAAUGGGUAAAGAAGCACCGGCUAACUACGUGCCAGCAGCCGCGGUGAUACGUAGGGUGCGAGCGUUGUCCGGAUUUAUUGGGCGUAAAGGGCUCGUAGGUGGUUGAUCGCGUCGGAAGUGUAAUCUUGGGGCUUAACCCUGAGCGUGCUUUCGAUACGGGUUGACUUGAGGAAGGUAGGGGAGAAUGGAGUUCCUGGUGGAGCGGUGGAAUGCGCAGAUAUCAGGAGGAACACCAGUGGCGAAGGCGGUUCUCUGGGCCUUUCCUGACGCUGAGGAGCGAAAGCGUGGGGAGCGAACAGGCUUAGAUACCCUGGUAGUCCACGCUGUAAACGGUGGGUACUAGGUGUGGGGUCCAUUCCACGGGUUCCGUGCCGUAGCUAACGCUUUAAGUACCCCGCCUGGGGAGUACGGCCGCAAGGCUAAAACUCAAAGGAAUUGACGGGGCCCCGCACAAGCGGCGGAGCAUGCGGAUUAAUUCGAUGCAACGCGUAGAACCUUACCUGGGUUUGACAUGGAUCGGGAGUGCUCAGAGAUGGGUGUGCCUCUUUUGGGGUCGGUUCACAGGUGGUGCAUGCCUGUCGUCAGCUCGUGUCGUGAGAUGUUGGGUUAAGUCCCGCAACGAGCGCAACCCUUGUUCACUGUUGCCAGCACGUUAUGGUGGGGACUCAGUGGAGACCGCCGGGGUCAACUCGGAGGAAGGUGGGGAUGACGUCAAGUCAUCAUGCCCCUUAUGUCCAGGGCUUCACGCAUGCUACAAUGGCUGGUACAGAGAGUGGCGAGCCUGUGAGGGUGAGCGAAUCUCGGAAAGCCGGUCUCAGUUCGGAUUGGGGUCUGCGACUCGACCUCAUGAAGUCGGAGUCGCUAGUAAUCGCAGAUCAGCAACGCUGCGGUGAAUACGUUCCCGGGGC